rnacentral:rRNA from 1 species
AGCAAUGGGCAACCGGCGAACGGGUGCGUAACACGUGAGCAACCUACCGAAUUGUGGGGGAUAGCCGGCCCAACGGCCGGGUAAUACCGCAUACGAUCGAGACCAGGCAUUUGGACUCGAUGAAAUCUACGGAGCAAUUCGAGGGGCUCGCGGCCUAUCAGCUAGUUGGCGAGGUAACGGCUCACCAAGGCAACGACGGGUAGCUGGUCUGAGAGGAUGGCCAGCCACAUUGGGACUGAGAUACGGCCCAGACUCCUACGGGAGGCAGCAGUGGGGAAUCUUGCGCAAUGGCCUAACGGCUGACGCAGCGACGCCGCGUGAGGGAUGACGCUCUUCGGAGUGUAAACCUCUUUUGCCCGGGACGAAUUGCCAGUUUUCACUGGCUUGACGGUACCGGGUGAAUAAGCACCGGCUAACUCCGUGCCAGCAGCCGCGGUAAUACGGGGGGUGCGAGCGUUGUCCGGAAUCACUGGGCGUAAAGGGCGCGUAGGUGGUCUGAUAAGGGUGUGGUGAAAGCCCGGGGCUCAACCCCGGGUCGGCCGUGCCGACUGUUGGACUAGAGUGCUGUAGGGGCAGGCGGAAUUCCGGGUGUAGCGGUGGAAUGCGUAGAGAUCCGGAGGAAGACCGGUGGCGAAGGCGGCCUGCUGGGCAGUUACUGACACUGAGGCGCGACAGCGUGGGGAGCAAACAGGAUUAGAUACCCUGGUAGUCCACGCCGUAAACGAUGGGUACUAGGUGCCUGGGGGAGCGACCCCUUGGGUGCCGGCGCUAACGCAGGAAGUACCCCGCCUGGGGAGUACGACCGCAAGGUUGAAACUCAAAGGAAUUGA